AUUGAACGCUGGCGGCAUGCUUUACACAUGCAAGUCGAACGGUAACAGGUCUUCGGAUGCUGCCGAGUGGCGAACGGGUGAGUAAUACAUCGGAACGUGCCUAGUAGUGGGGGAUAACUACUCGAAAGAGUAGCUAAUACCGCAUGAGAUCUACGGAUGAAAGCCGGGGACCUUCGGGCCUUGUGCUACUAGAGCGGCUGAUGGCAGAUUAGGUAGUUGGUGGGGUAAAGGCUUACCAAGCCUGCGAUCUGUAGCUGGUCUGAGAGGACGACCAGCCACACUGGGACUGAGACACGGCCCAGACUCCUACGGGAGGCAGCAGUGGGGAAUUUUGGACAAUGGGCGAAAGCCUGAUCCAGCAAUCCCGCGUGGGGGAAGAAGGCCUUCGGGUUGUAAAGUGCUUUUGUUGGGAAAGAAAAGCCGGGGGUUAAUACCCCGGGGCUAUGACGGUACCGAAAGAAUAAGCACCGGCUAACUACGUG
rnacentral:rRNA from 1 species